rnacentral:rRNA from 1 species
AUUGAACGCUGGCGGCAUGCUUUACACAUGCAAGUCGAACGGUAACAGGCCGCAAGGUGCUGACGAGUGGCGAACGGGUGAGUAAUGCAUCGGAACGUGCCCAGUCGUGGGGGAUAACGCAGCGAAAGCUGCGCUAAUACCGCAUACGAUCUAUGGAUGAAAGCGGGGGACCGUAAGGCCUCGCGCGAUUGGAGCGGCCGAUGUCAGAUUAGGUAGUUGGUGGGGUAAAGGGUCACCAAGCCAACGAUCUGUAGCUGGUCUGAGAGGGCGACCCGCGACACUGGGACAGAGACACGGCCCAGACUCCUACGGGAGGAAGAAGUGGGGAAGUUUGGACACUGGGAGCAAGCCUGAUCCAGCAAUGCCGCGUGCAGGAAGAAGGCCUUAGGGUUGUAAACUGCUUUUGUACGGAACGAAACGGUCCUGGUUAAUACCCGGGGCUAAUGACGGUACCGUAAGAAUAAGCACCGGCUAACUACGUGCCAGCAGCCGCCGUAAUAC